CUUGUUGGUGAGGUAAUGGCUCACCAAGGCGACGACGGGUAGCCGGCCUGAGAGGGCGACCGGCCACACUGGGACUGAGACACGGCCCAGACUCCUACGGGAGGCAGCAGUGGGGAAUAUUGCACAAUGGGCGAAAGCCUGAUGCAGCGACGCCGCGUGAGGGAUGACGGCCUUCGGGUUGUAAACCUCUUUCAGCAGGGAAGAAGCGAAAGUGACGGUACCUGCAGAAGAAGCGCCGGCUAACUACGUGCCAGCAGCCGCGGUAAUACGUAGGGCGCAAGCGUUGUCCGGAAUUAUUGGGCGUAAAGAGCUCGUAGGCGGCUUGUCACGUCGAUUGUGAAAGCCCGAGGCUUAACCUCGGGUCUGCAGUCGAUACGGGCUAGCUAGAGUGUGGUAGGGGAGAUCGGAAUUCCUGGUGUAGCGGUGAAAUGCGCAGAUAUCAGGAGGAACACCGGUGGCGAAGGCGGAUCUCUGGGCCAUUACUGACGCUGAGGAGCGAAAGCGUGGGGAGCGAACAGGAUUAGAUACCCUGGUAGUCCACGCCGUAAACGGUGGGAACUAGGUGUUGGCGACAUUCCACGUCGUCGGUGCCGCAGCUAACGCAUUAAGUUCCCCG
rnacentral:rRNA from 1 species